rnacentral:rRNA from 1 species
CCUACGGGAGGCAGCAGUGAGGAAUAUUGGUCAAUGGGCGCGAGCCUGAACCAGCCAAGUCGCGUGAGGGAAGACGGUCCUAUGGAUUGUAAACCUCUUUUGUCGGGGAGCAAAAGACGCCACGCGUGGCGUUCCGAGAGUACCCGAAGAAAAAGCAUCGGCUAACCCCGUGCCAGCAGCCGCGGUAAUACGGAGGAUGCGAGCGUUAUCCGGAUUUAUUGGGUUUAAGGGGUGCGCAGGCGGAAGAUCAAGUCAGCGGGAAAAUUGAGAGGCUCAACCUCUUCGAGCCGUUGAAACUGGUUUUCUUGAGUGAGUGAGAAGUAUGCGGAAUGCGUGGUGUAGCGGUGAAAUGCAUAGAUAUCACGCAGAACUCCGAUUGCGAAGGCAGCAUACCGGCGCUCAACUGACGCUCAUGCACGAAAGUGUGGGUAUCGAACAGGAUUAGAUACCCGGGCAGUC